rnacentral:rRNA from 1 species
UACGUAGGGUCCAAGCGUUGUCCGGAUUUAUUGGGCGUAAAGAGCUCGUAGGCGGCUUAGUAAGUCGGAUGUGAAAACUCGGGGCUCAACCCCGAGACGCCAUCCGAUACUGCUGUGGCUUGAGUCUGGUAGGGGAACACGGAAUUCCUGGUGUAGCGGUGAAAUGCGCAGAUAUCAGGAGGAACACCGGUGGCGAAGGCGGGUCUCUGGGCAGUAACUGACGCUGAGGAGCGAAAGCGUGGGGAGCGAACAGG